rnacentral:rRNA from 1 species
GACGAACGCUGGCGGCGUGCUUAACACAUGCAAGUCGAACGGAAAGGCCCUGCUUUUGUGGGGUGCUCGAGUGGCGAACGGGUGAGUAACACGUGAGUAACCUGCCCUUGACUUUGGGAUAACUUCAGGAAACUGGGGCUAAUACCGGAUAGGAGCUCCUGCUGCAUGGUGGGGGUUGGAAAGUUUCGGCGGUUGGGGAUGGACUCGCGGCUUAUCAGCUUGUUGGUGGGGUAGUGGCUUACCAAGGCUUUGACGGGUAGCCGGCCUGAGAGGGUGACCGGCGCCAUGGGGUGGGCGACCGACCGCACACUCCUGAGGGGGGCAGGGGUGGGUACGAUAGAAGAAGGUGCGGGAGCGUGGUGCACAGGCGCGGCGGGGGGGGUGGCGGCUUGGGUGUGUCCAGCCUCUUUCCCUUGGGAGAGGGGGGGUGGGACGGUACGGGGAAAAGAAGCAGCGGCUAAGUACGGGCCAGCAGCCGGGGUAAGGGGGGAAGAGCCCCCGUCUGACC